rnacentral:lncRNA from 1 species
AGGAUUCAAACUGAACAGCAGGUUACUGUUUUAUGUAUAUAUUGUGACCUAAAUUUGAGGGCAUAAAGAAAACCCCGAGAGGAGCCUCAUGAGAAUGGUACCUGCUUGUCUGUGCCAGGGGAGGGUGUCGCUAACCCUCUCCACGUUCUUACUUUCGGUUGAGUCUGCGUGAUGAAGAUGUAUGACUUUUCCCUCUAAUGGAAAGAAGCAGUGAUGGGAGUAGCUGUUUGAAUUCCUGCCUCGACUUCCCUGAAGUGAUGGGCUGUCAUCUGGAAUUUUAAGCCAAACAAGCCCUUCCUCCCCAAAGUUGCCUCUGGCCCUGAUGUUUCAUUAGAGCCAACAGCCUUGAAGGAAGGCCGUGCCUUGUCUGCCUCCCCCAUAGCUCCUUGGGAUUAGUGCUGUCCACAGGGAACGUGUGCAUGGCUCUGAAUCACCUCACCCCACUUGGUCAAGCUGAUGUGAAGACAGCAGCCUCUGGCAGAGAACACUCAGCUUUCUAGAAAUUACUGGAGUUGGCACAGCUUCAAGGCAUUGGUUUUCUUUCAACGAGUGAAGCUGAACAUUUUAUUUCUUGACAAUUCGGAGAUAAUUUGAAAUUUCUGUUUGUGACUAGCCUGUUUCAAAAGGGAUGGGGUCUGGGGAGGUGGGAGGUGGUUCACCCUGUAAAGCACUUGCCUCCAUAAUGGAUAAUGGGAGGACCUUGAUUUGGAUCUCUAGCGCCCUGUAAACAAACAAGUGUAGCAGAGUGGUGGGGCUGUAACCCCUAGGCUGCAGAGACUGGAGGUUUCUUCCUCUCUCCUUCUCCUCAUCUCCCUUCCUCUCCUCCCCCUCUCUCCCUCUCCUCCUCCUCUUCCUCCUCCUCCUCUCCCUCUCCUCCUCCUCUCC